UGGCUUCCUUUUUCCCUCCUACACGUAAUCCAGAACCUCACAAGCUCCACCAAGGUUGGAUGGGGUGUGUUGGUUCAAGUCUGGGCUCUGGCUGGGGCGCACAACGGCACUCAGAGAGGAUCCUGAAGCCACUCCUUCCUUAUUUUGGUCGUGUGCUUAGAGUUGUUGUUGGAAGAUGAAUUUUCGCCCCAGUCCAAAGUCCAGAGUGCUCAGGAGCAGGUUACCAUCAAGGAUGUCUUUCUUUUUGCUCUACUCACCUGUCCCUCGACCCCAACUAGCCUCCCAGUUCUUCAUGAUGACAAACUUCCCCACAGCAUCAUGGAGCCUCUACCAUGCUUCACCAGAUGUAGCUGUUGAGGAUUUCUCCGAGGACAUAGAAGACACCAAUUACUGCCAUCAUUGC